GGGCCAGUAACAAGGAAGCUGCCUUUGCCAAUCAUGCCCUACUUCCUGCCUGUGCGGUCCACCUUACUUCCGGAAAAUGCGUUCCACAUGCAGGAAGUGAGUUUUCAUCGACUGCUGCAGCCUCCCAGUGUCCGUGGAGAUCAGGGUUACACAGUAAUGAAGAAGAUCUCUGGUGAGUGUGAGAUACCCAGCAGCCAUCAUCGUGUGUCAGGCGGACUAAGCAGGACCCACAGCCCCAUCACAGAUCCUGGAACUCACCAACAAGAUCAUUCAGCUGCUGACAGGAGAGGAGGGGGAGUAUAUAGAGGAACACAGGGGUCUGUACAUGGACGUGAUGAUGGAGAAUCACCGGCCCCUCACAUCACUGGAUGGGCCCAGUAACAGAGAUACCCCAGAGAGAUGUCCCCGUCCUCUGUAUUCCCAGGAUUGUACAGAGGAGAAUCACAGGACCGCACAGGACG